GCGGGAGUAGCUCAAUGGUAGAGCACCGGCCUUCCAAGCCGGCGACGCGGGUUCGAUUCCCGUCUCCCGCUCAA
rnacentral:tRNA from 1 species